rnacentral:rRNA from 1 species
GACGAACGCUGGCGGCGUGCCUACUCCAUGCAAGUAGGACGCAGUUGCGAACGGGUGAGUAACGCGUAGGUAACUACCUAUUAGAGGGGGAUAAAUAUUGGAAACGAUAGCUAAUCCCGCAUACUAGUAGAUGGACCUGCGUUGUAUUAGCUAGUAGGUAGGGUAAUGGCCUAACUAGGCAACGAUACAUAGCCGACCUUAGAGGGUGAUCGGCAAAACUGGGACUGAGACACGGCCCAGACUCCUUCGGUAGGCAGCAGGAGGGAAGCUGCGGCAAUGGGGGGAACCCUGACCGAGCAACGCCGCGGGAGUGAAGAAGGUUUUCGGAUCGUAAAGCUCUGUUGUUAAGGAAGCGGUACUUAACCAGAAAGGGACGGCUAACUCCGUGCCAGCAGCCGCGGGAAUAC